ensembl:lncRNA
UGUUGAACGAAUGUUCAGCAUGACUUCAUAGUCUUUAUCAUGAAGGAUGUGAAAUAGCAUGUAUGCAUGCUGUAGAUGUAUUUUGGAUGAUAUUCCUUCCUGCAAUUCACAUGAUGUCACUGAUGUGACUUUUAAAAGGAAAUGUAUUUUCCUUUUCAUGUGAUUUCUACAGUUCGUUUCAGAUAACUUAAAUUUACCUUGGCACAAGGAAAUCUUUGCUUUGCUAGAUAAUAGUUUAUCACUAUGCAUAUAUUGCAUUCACAAGCCGUCUUAAGUCUACCGUUUAUUCUGUACAUUUAUCCUGUUGGAUACUGGAAAUAAUGCAGAGCUACUUUCAGGUAACAGACUGGAUUUGAGCCCAGCAGUACCAUGAGAACAGCCAAUAAGAAUCCAUUAUAAAUCUACUUAAUGCAAUUCCAGAUAACUAGUAGAAUUGCCCUGGCCACAAUUAGAUGUUUCUUUGGCUUACUGAUACAGCUUCAACAGCGUUACCGUUUCUCUUUCUGCUGUGCCUUAUUUUCUCCACUCCUUUAUAAUCGCCCAAAGAGACCUGGGAGGAUUUUUAAUGUGCUCAAAACAAAGCUGUCGUCUCCCCUCUUCCCACUGCUUCAGAUAACAUGGUCAAGAUCAGACAUAUUCAAACCCCAAAUUUUUUUCUCCAGAUUUAAUCUACAGUGAAUGAGAAGUCAGAAAGUCUUUUAAGACAUUAUACCCGACUCUCUUUUCUUCCCCCGAUCAUCUCAGACAUGAUUAGUAAUUAGAAUUCUCCAGACUGGUUUUAUUUCUUGGAUAUCUAUAAAGUACACUGGAUUGUAUGUCUUGUCUCAGUGGUGCUACAGACAGAAGGGCACAGAGCUAGUGCUAUCCACAUGUACUAUAUUCACACAUACUCCAGUGGCAGACAUAUUCCAUGCAUUGCCUGGUCAGUUUUAUGAUAAAUCACCUGGACCCCAUUUGAUAUACAGACUGUGAUGAUGUAAUGGAGUCUGUAAAAUUUUAGGGCUGCUGCCUAAAGGACACUGAAAACACCAGUUAGCAUAUAUUAUACAGAAAAUAAAGUACUAGUGGCAAAAAGACAAAUUAUAUAUAUAUAUACACACACACACAGAGAGAGAGAGAGUACUGUGCAGAGUCUAUGAGAGGCACAUGUAAAGAAAUUAUGUGAAGCAAAGAUGCUUGUAGAAAUAAUAGAAAUUGUUAUUACAUUAAAAACUAUUAAUUUUAUACAUAAAAAUAAAGUCAAUAUUUGAUAUGGCAACCCUUUACCUUUAAAAAAAAAUCUGAGACAUUUUUCUAAGCAUCUUGAACAACCUG